CUUUCCCUCAGACUAAUUAGUGCUUUUGUUUACAAUGGAGUUGAGCAACUGACCCUCACCUUCCCCAGGAGAAGUCUCAAUGCUGGUGGCCAGCAGGUAGUGGACACCAAACAUCUGGAGAAUCCAAGGGUUGCUAGAGAAGACAUGUCAUAGCUCAAGGACAUCACAAGAGACUAGCUUAAUCCAUGACCUGAGACUUUGCCUGGCUCGUUAAGCAAAAUAUUCAGGAAGUGAAGUGGUUGGGGAUGGGGAGAUGUCUCAGUUGGCAAAAUGCUUGCCUUGCAGGAAGACCCAAGUUCAAUUCCCCAGAACCACAUGAAAAGCCAGGGAUGGUGUGGUGACACAGAGAAGUGAAGAUGGGGGAACUUCUACUGCUGGCUGGCCAUCCUGUCCAGCCUAAUCUGUGAGUUCCAGGUUUCCCAAAGUAAGAUGGACAGGAAUGAAGAUGAAGAUGACCUCGGCACCCCCUACUCCCCAUGCAGCGGAGCCUGUGAACAAAUGAUGAUGGCUACAGUGAAGACAAUGGAGAAGACGGUAGCGGUGGUGAUGGUGGUGGUGUUGGUGAUUAUUGUGAAGAAGAUGAUAUGAUUAUGAAGAAUAUUAUGAUUAUGAAGAAGAAGGUGGUGGUGGCGGUGGUGACGAUGAUGAAGAUGAUGAUGAUGGUGGUGACAAUGAUUAUGAAGAUGAUAAUGAUAAUAAUUAUGAAGGAACAGCCCCCAUACCAGGUUAAAAGAAAAUCUAGCUUCCUUCUAUGGAUCAGCUCACUGCUUACGGCUUUGGAGUAGACUGUAUCUACUCCAAAAUUCAUGUUGAAGCAUAACCCUCAUGGUGGUGACAUUAGAAGAUUGAGCCUGCCAGGAAGGGCAGUGAACUCCUGCAAUCCUAGCAGUCUGGAGGCAGAGACAGGAGUGAGUUCAUUACAAGACUGUCAUAUACCUCCUGACAAAGAGCCAGGUCCUUUGGAAGAAGCAUCAAAGUCACAGUGGCUCUCCUCCACGAUGGAGGCGCAAACUCCAUUGUCCCUCUGCAGGAUGCCACUGCCAUUCAAGUCUCUUGCAGGCCUCUACACCUGUUUUGCUCUGUAGUGUACAAAGUGUUUACUGGCUCCUCCAAACCUCAUCCUGCAAAACAGAACUGUGGUGAGGUCUGCAGCUGUCCUACUCAGGCCUGUGGGGUGGCUUAUUCCCUGGAGGCUUCCUGCAGGGUCACAUGCAUUUAUAACGUUCCCUGGGUGUUUGGGCUGUGAUUGCUUUUCAUCUGUGUUGACUCUGCACUGACUCUGCACAUUCCCUGUGUCUAUUACCUAUUAGUCACUGUGUUGAGAAUUUUGAGGAAAUAUGAAUCAGCGGUAAGGAUUACAAUGUGGCCUUCUUCAGAACUCUGAGUCGGUCUACCUGUCCAUCCAUCUAGUUAACUCUUCAAGAGGGUCAGAUUUCAGUGAGUUUGGAUCAAGAAUCCUUCUCUUUGCUUCUAACUCAGCUCUCUUGAUCUCAUCUUCUCUUUCCCAAACCAGGAACUCAGCUUCAGGGUACCAGAUGUGUUUCCACCUGUUUAAGGGUUAUCUUAUGUGGUAUUUUGCCUAGAAGAAAUAAGGUCAAGGCAACAGAAAUGUGGUUGGCCAAGAGACACCGGCCUAGAGAAGAGAAAACUCUGUCUGGGAGGUGAGGGAGGAAUGCUGGCCAAGCUCCUGUGUCCACCUCUAAUAGGCUGGGAUGUCCCAAGAAACAGCCCUCUUUCAGGGGACCAGGGUGUCCCCAAUUAGUUCUCCUUUGUCAUAUGGAAGCAUUCAGUCUCAAGAUCAUCCUCCUGUGGUAACUGUAGAUUUUACUGUGAGUCGUAGCUAGGGUUCAGGUUUCCAGUGAAAGCGUCAAGACUUACAAUCCCAGCAUUUGGGAGGUAGCUGGAGGAAGGUCAAGAGUUUGAGGUUAUCCCUGGCUACACAAGACCCCUGCAUCAAAUAAAGUAAGACAAAGCAAACAGACAAAAGAUGCAAGACUAGCAGUUUCAUGGGCUUAGGAAGCCCUGCGGUGUCAGGUAAUACAUUUUGUGGAAAAGGCACGGGAUACUGAAGACUUGGCUGGGAAAAAAGAAAGGAAGGGACUAACAGGGGACAUGGAGAGAUCGAAGAGACAUGGUGCUGAAAACAAGAAAAUCCAGGAGAAAAGGAGAAUGAGAAGGGAGUGUGCCAGAGGGAGAGUGGGAGAAUGUUCUGAACCACUGUGGUGGUAUCUGCAGAAGCCAGCCAGCCUGGGGAGAAGUGGAGGGGUGGCUGGGGAUUCUACUGUCUCAAGUGACACAUAGAGGUUCCAAAUGUCCUCAUGGUAACUGCUGCCCACGCAUUUUACCACUCAAAUCCCCCUGCCCACCCAAGUAUGAGAUACAGUGAUGCAGUGACAUUGGGAUACCACUAGGUGGCCUCUGGCUCCGAGCUUAGCAGGGGAAUUCCUGCCCCUGUAACUGGAGCCCAUUUCCUAUUUCCUCUGCUCCCUGUAGAAGAUAGGAUGGAAUUGCAAUGAAAGU
ensembl:lncRNA